ensembl:lncRNA
UGUUGUAGUAGUAUUAGUAGCAAAGCGCAAAUUUACAAUGGAACCUGUGGCAAAGAGAGGUCGCUCUGAGAUGUGGGAGCACUUUGAUUUCCUCUAACAAGGUUUGUAAUAGGCAGGCAAAGUCUGUCAUUUGUAUUGUGUAAUUAUGGAUGUUUAUUUUUAUUUGGGUUUUGUAGUUGAACUAUACAUGUGCCUUUAUUUUAUUCGUGAAAAACAUGCUUUUGUAAAUUCUGUUGUCAGGUCCAAUGUUUGGUUUGCCAUCAGCAAUUGGCUUAUAACAAUAACACCUCAUCCAUGCUGAGGCACUUUCGUGCCAAGCAUGAGGCUGGUCAAGCUGCAGCAAGCAUCCAUGGUGAUAGGAAGGCCAAGAUUGACGAGGCACUGGUGAACGAUUGUCAAGGAUUCGCAGCCCUUCAAGGUUGUGGAAGAUCAAGGCUUUAGGGCCUUGGUGUCUCUUUUGGACCCCACCUAUGUCCUUCCUUCAAGGCAGACCUUGAAAUCUAUGGUGGAGGCCAAGUAUCACGAGGAGAAGCAGAAGGCCAAAGAAAAGGUCCAGAAGGCUACUGCUGUGGCUUUGACCUCUGAUAUGUGGACAUCCAUCCACAUGGACUCGUACUUGGCCUUCACUUGCCAUUUUGUAGAUGAAGGGGACA